GAUAAACGCUGGCGGCGUGCCUUAUGCAUGCAAGUCGAACGAGGCUAGGACUUCGGUCCGAAACCUAGUGGCGGACGGGUGAGUAACACGUACGUGACCUGUCCGGAAGUGGGGAAUAACCAGCCGAAAGGUUGGCUAAUACCGCAUAUGGUCACCCCUUGGGUAGGAAACCUCCGGGGCGGAGAGAGGGGCUCGCGACCUAUCAGCUAGUUGGCGGGGUAACGGCUCACCAAGGCGGCGACGGGUAGCUGGUCNGAGAGGAUGGCCAGCCACAUUGGGACUGAGAUACGGCCCAGACUCCUACGGGAGGCAGCAGUGGGGAANAUUGCGCAAUGGCCUAACGGCUGACGCAGCGACGCCGCGUGUGGGAGGACGCCCCUCGGGUGUAAACCACUGUUGCCCGGGACGAACAACCAGUUUUGACUGGUCUGACGGUACCGGGUGAGGAAGCACCGGCUAACUCCGUGCCAGCCGCCGCUGUAAU
rnacentral:rRNA from 1 species